UACGUAGGGGGCGAGCGUUGUCCGGAAUUACUGGGCGUAAAGGGCGCGCAGGCGGCCGUGUAAGUCCGCUGUGAAAGACCGGGGCUCAACCCCGGGGUGUCAGCGGGGACUGCACGGCUGGAGUCCCGGAGAGGGAGGCGGAAUACCUGGUGUAGCGGUGGAAUGCGUAGAGAUCAGGUGGAACACCGAUGGCGAAGGCAGCCUCCUGGACGGGUACUGACGCUCAUGCACGAAAGCGUGGGGAGCAAACAGG
rnacentral:rRNA from 1 species